rnacentral:siRNA from 1 species
UCACAAGUUAUCACUGCGCCAG